rnacentral:lncRNA from 1 species
UCAUAUUUGACUUCUUAUCUCACAGGUGGACCCCACUUUUCUCCUAACAGUCAAAAAAUCAAUUCUCAAAAUCACUCCCAAACAGGCUCCUAAUGUUAAACACUAGUGGCGCUAAAUAACAUUACUCCACAUUUAAUGGUGAUCUUCUAGGGGUUCUAAGAAACAGACUGCUGAUACAAGAUCCAGUCAUAAUGAAGCAAUGUCAUUUCCCGAACAAAAGAGAAAAAGAAGUACAUAAAGAAAUUGGAAGACUAAGUAAAUAAUACACUUGCAGGAGUCAAACAUAACAAUUCACAUAGCAACUGGAAAUAAACCUAGAACCUCAACAAAGAAUACAUCUUACAAGACAUAAUUAAGCCAAUGAAACAAGAUAGAGAAGUGAACCGUAGCUACAAUUGAUAACCUGUCUCAGUCGCACUACACUAUUACUGAACUCUAAGAUGGCAUGGUACCAGGUGAAAAAGCAACAGAAACAACUUUUUGGCUUCAGUAAAGCGAGAAAGCCUGAAUGGAGAAGAGGAUGAUAAUGAAUACUACAUAUAAUAUCAUGUGUUACAAAAUACAAUUCACUGCUUUAAUCUAGUGGGCAAUAAAGUGAAAAAGAACAAAAUUAAAUUUUAGCCAUUUUGAACGGAGAAAUCAAGAAAUCAAUAGUCGUAAGGCCAAAAAAUAAAAAUAAAAAUAAAAACCUCUUGACAUCUUAUCCCCCUUGUUCUAUAUCAAUAACAUUCACCAAGCCACAUCCAUUACAGUCAUGAACCUUAAAGUUUCCUAGUAUUUUAAGGUUUUUUUCUUUUAAGCUUGUCAAAAAUAAUUAGAAUAGUGUAAAAAUCUCUGCCAAUUGACCAGAAUUCGAUCAACAUAUAGGAUGCAUUUGAUUGAGAGCAUAUAAUUUGCAUGUAUGAAAAUUAUUAAUUAAAUGUGUUUGAUUGAUUUAGUUUUCAACCGAAAAAAUAUUAUACUCAUCCAUUUUUUAUUGGUGAGUAGAUGAGAAAGAGAAUGAAUUAUCUGGAAAAUAAAAACCACCCCUCCCUAAAGAAAAUGCUUUCUUUGUUUUUGAGGGAAAUAUAAUUACAUGACCAAAAGUUGAAAAAUAUUUUCCAUGGAAAAAAUUGUCAAUCAAAUACCUCAAAA